GUCAGAGCUCAGAGGACAACAGCUUCAGCCGUCCGCACCCAGCAUGAGCCAGAGGCCGGGGUCCUGGGCCAGAGGGCCUCCGGGAGUGGCUGAGGGGAAGCUAGAGGUCCUGGAGAAGUUCUUUCAGCCUCCUUGGGCCUGGGAACGGGCAUCCUCACGGAGCUCGUCUUCCUCCUCCCCGGGCUCCUCAGGCCACCCUCCCCAGCUGGGCAGGGGGCCGCUGAUCGGCGGCCGGGGCCCCGGGGAGAGGCUGAGGUUUUCCACCUUCCUCGAUGAGGUGACACGGAGGGUGCUGAGUCCUGCCCAGCUCCGGGCUCUGGGAUGGAGGGGUGCCCUGGACCCACUCAGACACUCUCCUCCCCCAGGAAGCCAGCUGGUGUUUCCCGAGGACCGGCUCUCUGAGAUGCAGACACAGCCACGUUCGCCGGAGCCCCGAGGGGGCUCCUUGGACACAGGAUCUACAGGGGAAGAUGGAGAUGGGGACCCCAAGUUCAACCUGGGGCAGGUGUGGGAGAAGCUGAUGACCUUGAAGGAACAGUUCCUGAGGCUGCAGGAGGACCUAGCCAGCACCCACAGGGCCCACCAAGUCCUGGAGGAGAAGCUGCAAAGCCUGAUGUCCAGGUUGGCCUCCAGCCCCCCAGGACCCCCUGUGUUCCUUCUCCUGAACGAGGCUCCCAGCUGCUCCCUGGACUCCGCCAUGCCCUGGGCGAGCCCAGAGCUGAGGGAGGGGGGUAGUGUGGGGGUUCUGGGUGCAACCCCAUGAGAGGACUGCACCCCAGGCUCCCCUGCCCCACCCUUCUUAAUGUCAGCAAUAAAGCCCUAGCCACCCCCGCA
rnacentral:lncRNA from 1 species